UCUCACUGAAUUAUUAACUUGUUAAUUAAUACUGAACCGCAUUUAUUAGACUUAACAUUGAAUGCAUACUUGGACCAAGGGCAUUAUUUCCUUCAAGCUUCCCUUUAGCUUUUAGAACAACCUUCAUACUGACCUUUAGAUUUUUUAUCCUUCCUUUGAUUCCGGCAGUGUUUCCUCUUAGAUUCCUUGGUUUUGGCUUAUGAAUUGGGUAGAACUUUGGUAGUAAUUGGGAUGGUUCGAAUACUUAUGCGGGCAGAGUUCUUCUUAACACACUACUACAUUUUCGAUCAAAUGCGACGCCUCUUAAUGAGCUAAUGCAACGCCUCACCUCAAUACCGUUGCAUUAUGUGUUGCUAAUGCAACGACCACUACCAAACCGUGACAUUAGUCAAUCUAAUACGACGACAUCUUCUUUACCGUUGCAUUAGCCCUUCAAAUAUUCAUGGGCAAUUAAAUUUGACAAGGCUAAUGCAACGGCCGUUGAAAAUACCUACAGUCAAAUUUAUUGGCCGCGCCGAAUUCACACUCUUUUCCCCUAAAUACUUCGUAUAAUUUUAAACCGCAAUUGAACGUAGAAGAGAGAGAAAAUGUAGAGGAGUAAGGAACCCUAUUUCCCCUUUCUUACCUCCCGCAACCUUGUUCCGCCGUCCCGCAACCUUCUUCUGCCGUUGAGGGACUCGCCUGUAUAAUUCGAUCUGGUCGUCGCUCCGACAACAAUUGCAAGUAAAUGUUGCUCCAAUUUCAACUGGUAUUUCUUUGAAAAGACCUUAAAAGGACAAUUCGACUGUAGAGACCUGUACUGAAUGGAAUUCUACACCUUCAUCCCCUGAUCUAAUUGGUGUUUUAUCAUCAGCGAUUAAACUUCCCUUUAGCACACUCCAUCCAUAAUCGCAGGUUGUAUUGUCCAUAAUCCAUAUUAUUUAUCAUGUUUUAGCUAGUGUACCAUCUUUAACUUGUGCCCAUUCGUGAUUUAAACUUGCAGGAGCAUGGUGAGCUAAAUGGAGAAGAAAUGUAGAUCUAGCAAAUGGAACGGUGGAGGCUCUUGUUUGUUUUGGGGGCAUUUUAUGAUUUCCAGUAAUGUUGAAUUAGGAGGCUAUGGAUUUUAGUUUUAUGUAUUUUUGUCAUUAAAAACACUAAAUAAUUAGUGAACAACUAUUUUGUAAUGCAUGUGUCCUAUGGGCACUAAUAUUGUAAUAUUACUUUUUAAGUCAAUGAAAUUCCUUUGUUAUUGGCA